GGUUAAGCGACUAAGCGUACACGGUGGAUGCCCUGGCAGUCAGAGGCGAUGAAGGACGUGCUAAUCUGCGAUAAGCGUCGGUAAGGUGAUAUGAACCGUUAUAACCGGCGAUUUCCGAAUGGGGAAACCCAGUGUGUUUCGACACACUAUCAUUAACUGAAUCCAUAGGUUAAUGAGGCGAACCGGGGGAACUGAAACAUCUAAGUACCCCGAGGAAAAGAAAUCAACCGAGAUUCCCCCAGUAGCGGCGAGCGAACGGGGAGCAGCCCAGAGCCUGAAUCAGUGUGUGUGUUAGUGGAAGCGUCUGGAAAGGCGCGCGAUACAGGGUGACAGCCCCGUACACAAAAAUGCACAUACUGUGAGCUCGAUGAGUAGGGCGGGACACGUGGUAUCCUGUCUGAAUAUGGGGGGACCAUCCUCCAAGGCUAAAUACUCCUGACUGACCGAUAGUGAACCAGUACCGUGAGGGAAAGGCGAAAAGAACCCCGGCGAGGGGAGUGAAAAAGAACCUGAAACCGUGUACGUACAAGCAGUGGGAGCCUCUUUAUGGGGUGACUGCGUACCUUUUGUAUAAUGGGUCAGCGACUUAUAUUCUGUAGCAAGGUUAACCGAAUAGGGGAGCCGAAGGGAAACCGAGUCUUAACUGGGCGUUAAGUUGCAGGGUAUAGACCCGAAACCCGGUGAUCUAGCCAUGGGCAGGUUGAAGGUUGGGUAACACUAACUGGAGGACCGAACCGACUAAUGUUGAAAAAUUAGCGGAUGACUUGUGGCUGGGGGUGAAAGGCCAAUCAAACCGGGAGAUAGCUGGUUCUCCCCGAAAGCUAUUUAGGUAGCGCCUCGUGAAUUCAUCUCCGGGGGUAGAGCACUGUUUCGGCAAGGGGGUCAUCCCGACUUACCAACCCGAUGCAAACUGCGAAUACCGGAGAAUGUUAUCACGGGAGACACACGGCGGGUGCUAACGUCCGUCGUGAAGAGGGAAACAACCCAGACCGCCAGCUAAGGUCCCAAAGUCAUGGUUAAGUGGGAAACGAUGUGGGAAGGCCCAGACAGCCAGGAUGUUGGCUUAGAAGCAGCCAUCAUUUAAAGAAAGCGUAAUAGCUCACUGGUCGAGUCGGCCUGCGCGGAAGAUGUAACGGGGCUAAACCAUGCACCGAAGCUGCGGCAGCGACACUAUGUGUUGUUGGGUAGGGGAGCGUUCUGUAAGCCUGUGAAGGUGUGCUGUGAGGUAUGCUGGAGGUAUCAGAAGUGCGAAUGCUGACAUAAGUAACGAUAAAGCGGGUGAAAAGCCCGCUCGCCGGAAGACCAAGGGUUCCUGUCCAACGUUAAUCGGGGCAGGGUGAGUCGACCCCUAAGGCGAGGCCGAAAGGCGUAGUCGAUGGGAAACAGGUUAAUAUUCCUGUACUUGGUGUUACUGCGAAGGGGGGACGGAGAAGGCUAUGUUGGCCGGGCGACGGUUGUCCCGGUUUAAGCGUGUAGGCUGGUUUUCCAGGCAAAUCCGGAAAAUCAAGGCUGAGGCGUGAUGACGAGGCACUACGGUGCUGAAGCAACAAAUGCCCUGCUUCCAGGAAAAGCCUCUAAGCAUCAGGUAACAUCAAAUCGUACCCCAAACCGACACAGGUGGUCAGGUAGAGAAUACCAAGGCGCUUGAGAGAACUCGGGUGAAGGAACUAGGCAAAAUGGUGCCGUAACUUCGGGAGAAGGCACGCUGAUAUGUAGGUGAAGUCCCUUGCGGAUGGAGCUGAAAUCAGUCGAAGAUACCAGCUGGCUGCAACUGUUUAUUAAAAACACAGCACUGUGCAAACACGAAAGUGGACGUAUACGGUGUGACGCCUGCCCGGUGCCGGAAGGUUAAUUGAUGGGGUUAGCGGUAACGCGAAGCUCUUGAUCGAAGCCCCGGUAAACGGCGGCCGUAACUAUAACGGUCCUAAGGUAGCGAAAUUCCUUGUCGGGUAAGUUCCGACCUGCACGAAUGGCGUAAUGAUGGCCAGGCUGUCUCCACCCGAGACUCAGUGAAAUUGAACUCGCUGUGAAGAUGCAGUGUACCCGCGGCAAGACGGAAAGACCCCGUGAACCUUUACUAUAGCUUGACACUGAACAUUGAGCCUUGAUGUGUAGGAUAGGUGGGAGGCUUUGAAGUGUGGACGCCAGUCUGCAUGGAGCCGACCUUGAAAUACCACCCUUUAAUGUUUGAUGUUCUAACGUUGACCCGUAAUCCGGGUUGCGGACAGUGUCUGGUGGGUAGUUUGACUGGGGCGGUCUCCUCCUAAAGAGUAACGGAGGAGCACGAAGGUUGGCUAAUCCUGGUCGGACAUCAGGAGGUUAGUGCAAUGGCAUAAGCCAGCUUGACUGCGAGCGUGACGGCGCGAGCAGGUGCGAAAGCAGGUCAUAGUGAUCCGGUGGUUCUGAAUGGAAGGGCCAUCGCUCAACGGAUAAAAGGUACUCCGGGGAUAACAGGCUGAUACCGCCCAAGAGUUCAUAUCGACGGCGGUGUUUGGCACCUCGAUGUCGGCUCAUCACAUCCUGGGGCUGAAGUAGGUCCCAAGGGUAUGGCUGUUCGCCAUUUAAAGUGGUACGCGAGCUGGGUUUAGAACGUCGUGAGACAGUUCGGUCCCUAUCUGCCGUGGGCGCUGGAGAACUGAGGGGGGCUGCUCCUAGUACGAGAGGACCGGAGUGGACGCAUCACUGGUGUUCGGGUUGUCAUGCCAAUGGCACUGCCCGGUAGCUAAAUGCGGAAGAGAUAAGUGCUGAAAGCAUCUAAGCACGAAACUUGCCCCGAGAUGAGUUCUCCCUGACUCCUUGAGAGUCCUGAAGGAACGUUGAAGACGACGACGUUGAUAGGCCGGGUGUGUGAGCGCAGCGAUGCGUUGAGCUAACCGGUACUAAUGAACCGUGAGGCUUAACCUU
rnacentral:rRNA from 1 species